CUCAAACCAGCUUGGUGCUGAUGAAGGGCAAGUUAGGUCAGUGCUGUUGGUGAGGGUCAGCGGGGCUGAGAUGUUGGAUAAGCUAGAGCUGAAGAGGUUAUAACUCCAAGGGGGUUUGCUGAGGCUGCAAGUUUAUCUCCCUCUAAUUGCUGAGAGAGUGUGGCAAAUAUGAUGGUCGGGACUGGAGUUACUAGCCUCGUUGUGGAGAUACACUCGGUCGCAAGGCUAAUGCAAGACCAUGGUCAAACACAAAUUUGAAGAAGAUAACAUUGAGACAGAUUGGUCAGUAGACUUCCUUGGUAAAUUAAAGUGUUGUGUGAGGCACAGCACGGAGGUGGACCAGGGACCAAACAUGUCGCCUAGCGAGACUGAUGAUUCGAGAUGUUGGUGAUAGUGAGGAUCUGAGUCGUGGCUGAUAUGGGACACCAGACCUGAUGCAACUGAGAUAACACCUUACCUCCCUCACUAACGUCGGCAAAUUAGCAAUCCUUCUGCCAUCCUCUGGAUAGAAAUAGUGUUCACUUUGUUUUCGUUUAGCAUUUUUAGGCAUUGGAUUUGUGUUAAUUAUUAUCAGGGCUGAUGUAUUAAAGACUGGUUUGGAAGGCCUCACCGGCUUCUUAAAUACAAAAACAAAAUGGAUUCUGUACACAAUUUUCAUAAAACAUUUCAUCUUGCUUGACUAGUCUCUGUGUGCGAUUGUUGUUGUCCUCCCCUGCCAUACCACUCGUGGAUAUAAACCAUACUGGUGACAAUUUUAGAGACUGUUGCUGUCCACGUCUUGUGUCGACUGGGACCACCCUCGUGGCAAACUUCUUCAACUACUGUCGACUUCAGCCGGCAUAUAAAUAUUUACAGCACAAUAGAAACUUGUGUUACUCGGAUUUAAGUGCUCUCAUAAAUAAUGCUACAUUUUGGACUAUUUUUUAAAUAUAAAUCGAUUUUAGUCGGUAUAAUUCAGUAAUAUUCUCUUUCUAUUCAGUUUGACAACACUUUCAAUACGCGUGCUGAAGAAAAAAAAAUAAAUUUAUGAAGUUAAUCUCAGGAGAUAUUUGCGCAUGCAUUUUAAAUCUUACCUUCAAGCUAAGCCUGGUG